rnacentral:lncRNA from 1 species
UUUGCUUGUUUUCCCAUCUAUGCCCUACUCGAUGAGUCAAUGAUUAUCACUGAGUCUAUGAGACUCACACCCCUUUUUAUCCUCUUUUGCAGAUAGGGAUCAGCCUAGUGUGUAGUCAGUGACACGUUCGGACCACCGUGAAUAGGUAAAGGCAUCUCCUAGCAUUUUAUUCCCAGUCGCUUCGCUGUUAGGGGUCAAGUCGUAACUUUUUAUUUGUUAAGUUGUAAAUGAAUUCUAAAUUUUUAUAUAAGCAUUAAUUUGGAGAUUAUAGAUUUAAUGCAUAUACUUACGAAUAAAAAGAAAAAAAAAAU